rnacentral:lncRNA from 1 species
UCUGUAGCUGAGGGUAACUUUAAAUUCCUGAUACUCCUGGCUUUGCAUAUAAAUAUUGGGAUCAUAAGCAUAUGCCACCAUUGAGGUCUCUUGCUAAAUAUUGCAGGCUGGACCUGAACUUAAGAACUGCCUGACUUUGUCCAUCAAGUGCUAGGAUUAGCUAUGUGUGGCACCACGCCUGUGUAUAAUUGUAGCCUUACAGUUAGAGCAGUGUGUUGGAAUGAAUGCUUCAUGGUUGAAAAGCCACGACCGGGAAAUCUGCUUUCAAGUACUGAGGUGGCACGGUGGAUGGGGUGUAAAUGAAAUGAGACUAGCCAUGAAUAGUCAUUAAGGCUGUUAGAUGUGUGGAACCGAGGUGCAGGACCACGGAGCACACAUCAGGAAAAACAGUCGAGACAGCAGCAGCAGUACAGGCAGCAGCAGUACAGCAGCAGUAGUACAGCAGCAGCAGUACAGGCAGCAGCAGUACAGGCAGCAGCAGUACAGCAGCAGCAGUACAGGCA